rnacentral:lncRNA from 1 species
CUUACCAGUUCUAUAUUUUGGGCUAAUCCCUCAUAACCUAUCUGAACCUUAAACCUAACAGGUGAAUUUAUUCAGACAUGAAGUUUGUCACAGAAAUCAUGGAUAGAAUAGAUGAAAUUGCAAUAGAUAUAAAAACCAAAGACAAUUGAGUUCCAGGAGGAAUCUGAAGGAGUUCCUCCUUUCUCUCCUAACUAAGAACAAUGAAUUAAAUAAAGCUUAGAUAGCGUAGCCGUCAACAAUGGCUUAUAAAUAACAUAAAUAGGAUUUCUGGUCAUCCAAGGGUAUUCUGGUAAUUUGUGGUUGCUUCUGGGAUUCAGUCGGUCAUCCGCAUUCUGGAAUCCAUAUCGAUCAAUGUCAAGAGUUCUGCAUCGAUCGACAUACGUUCCUCUUCUCGACAGCUUCCUCUCGCGAGGCAGACUGACCACUCCUCAGUAAAACGGGCAUAACUUCUUUUACAGGAUGUUGAUUGACCUCGUACCGGUGGCAUUGGAAAGCUAACUCAAAGAUCUAUCUUGUGCAAAAUUAUGGGCUCAAUAUAAGGGUGGGAAGAUCUCCAUCCAUAGCUAGACAUCUGACGCGUC